rnacentral:lncRNA from 1 species
CCAAGACAAAAUUAUUGGAGUAAGUUUACAAAAGUGACUGGACAUUGCUGGCCGUGACAUCAUACGACAUCUGUUUAAGUUGCAGCUGCUUGGUGAUUACACAUUUAAUCCAACCGCUGCCUUUGAAAUUGUAUGAUGAGCUACAAACAUAAGUAUAUCACCUAUGACAUCGAGAUAAAACAUUACCCGAUGGUUGUGUGAUAAAUGUUUUGAGGCAAACGGCAAAUAUCGGAUUUGACUAAAUUGUACAAGCAUAUCGUGGGCAUGAGGAAAAAUUACGGAUCCGUUACAACGACAAGAUAUGGUCUUUAUCGGCGGCGUUAUUUUGGCAGAGAUGACAAAGAAUCGUGAUGGCUUUCGAAUGUGUAUAUGAAACAAGAAUAUUAAUAGUGGAAUUUUGACCUGAUAGUUAGCAGGUCACAAAACUAAAAAGAACUCUUGUUUGCCAUUUUGAAUAUGCUGA